rnacentral:rRNA from 1 species
ACGGGAGGCAGCAGUGGGGAAUAUUGCACAAUGGGCGAAAGCCUGAUGCAGCGAUGCCGCGUGAAGGAUGAAGGGUUUCGGCUCGUAAACUUUUAUCGAUAGUGAAGAAACAAAUGACGGUAACUAAGUAAGAAGCUCCGGCUAACUACGUGCCAGCAGCCGCGGUAAUACGUAGGGAGCAAGCGUUAUCCGGAUUUACUGGGUGUAAAGGGCGUGUAGGCGGGACAUCAAGUCAGAUGUGAAAGCACGAGGCUCAACUUCGUGUCUGCAUUUGAAACUGACGUUCUUGAGUGUUGGAGAGGCUAACGGAACUCCUAGUGUAGCGGUGAAAUGCGUAGAUAUUAGGAAGAACACCAGUGGCGAAGGCGGUUAGCUGGACAAUAACUGACGCUGAGGCGCGAAAGCGUGGGUAGCAAACAGGAUUAGAUACCCUGGUA